rnacentral:tRNA from 1 species
UCCCUGGUGGCUCAGAUGGUAAAGAAUCUGCCUGCAAUGCAGGAGACCCUGGUUCAAUCCCUGGGUUGGGAA